GAGUUUGACUCUGGCUCAGGACGAACGCUGGCGGCGCGCUUAACACAUGCAAGUCGUACGGGGUCCUUCGGGGCUCAGUGGCGAACGGGUGCGUAACACGUGGGCGAUCUGCCGAGGCGCGGGGGACAACCCGGGGAAACCCGGGCUAAUACCGCAUGUGCUGCAUGGGCUUCAUGGCCUGUGCAGGAAACCCGCGAUCAAGCGGGGUGCUUCGAGGGGCCCGCGGCGUAUCAGGUAGUUGGUGAGGUAACGGCUCACCAAGCCGACGACGCGUAGCUGGUCUGAGAGGACGACCGGCCACAUUGGGACUGAGAUACGGCCCAGACUCCUACGGGAGGCAGCAGUGGGGAAUCUUGCGCAAUGGACGAAAGUCUGACGCAGCGACGCCGCGUGCGGGAGGAAGCCCUUCGGGGUGUAAACCGCUGUCACCGGGGAAGAAUGCCCAGGGGAGGAAAUGCCCGUGGAGUGACGGUACCCGGGGAGGAAGCACCGGCUAACUCUGUGCCAGCAGCCGCGGUAAUACAGAGGGUGCGAGCGUUGUUCGGAAUUACUGGGCGUAAAGCGCGCGCAGGCGGCCUUUUAAGUCUCACCGUUCAAGCCCGGGGCUCAACCCCGGUCCGCGGGGGAUACUGGGAGGCUAGGGACAUGUAGGGGCGAGCGGAAUUCCGGGUGUAGCGGUGGAAUGCGUAGAGAUCCGGAAGAACACCGGGGGCGAAGGCGGCUCGCUGGGCAUGGUCCGACGCUGAGGCGCGAAAGCGUGGGGAGCGAACAGGAUUAGAUACCCUGGUAGUCCACGCCGUAAACGAUGGGCACUGGGCGCGGGGGGGAUCGGCCCUCUCCGUGCCGUAGCUAACGCGAUAAGUGCCCCGCCUGGGGAGUACGGCCGCAAGGCUGAAACUCAAAGGAAUUGACGGGGGCCCGCACAAGCGGUGGAGCAUGUGGUUUAAUUCGAAGCAACGCGAAGAACCUUACCUGGGCUUGACAUGCUAGAGAAAGCUCCGUGAAAGCGGAGCCCCUCUUCGGAGCUCUAGCACAGGUGCUGCAUGGCUGUCGUCAGCUCGUGUCGUGAGAUGUUGGGUUAAGUCCCGCAACGAGCGCAACCC
rnacentral:rRNA from 1 species